rnacentral:rRNA from 1 species
GAUUAUUGGGCCUAAGCAUCCGUAGCCGGUCUUGCAAGUCUUCCGUUAAAUCCACCUGCUUAACAGAUGGGCUGCGGAAGAUACUACAAGACUAGGAGGCGGGAGAGGCAAGCGGUACUCAGUGGGUAGGGGUAAAAUCCUCUGAUCCAUUGAAGACCACCAGUGGCGAAGGCGGCUUGCCAGAACGCGCUCGACGGUGAGGGAUGAAAGCUGGGGGAGCAAACCGGAUUAGAUACCCGGGUAGUCCCAGCUGUAAACGAUGCANACUCGGUGAUGGGCCGGCUUCAUGCCGGCUCAGUGCCGCAGGGAAGCCGUUAAGUCUGCCGCCUGGGGAGUACGGUCGCAAGACUGAAACUUCAAGGAAUUGG